rnacentral:misc_RNA from 1 species
AAGUCGUAACAAGGUUUCCGUAGGUGAACCUGCCCUAGGAUCAUUAACACGUAUCCAACGUUAAACCCCAUGUGAACUUUUAUUGCGAACCACGCCUUUGUUAAAAAGUAGCAAUCCCUGGCAAAUCAUCACCAAACAGUUUUGAUUCAGGGAUCUCUGCGAAGAGAGCGGUUGUAGCGCGAGGUAAGUGCCUGGCAUUCCUCUGCUUGUUAGUGUCUGACAGUGUCACUAGCUCUGUACGAAUGGCGCAGUCACGAUCGCUGGAGGCCGACACGGCCGGCGACCCCUAUCACCUUUGCAUGAAAACGGGCCUGCGCUUAAUUGUGCGGCCACCAAACUCGAACAACUGUUAACAAUGGAUAUCUUGGUUCUC